ensembl:lncRNA
GCUGUGUCACAGAUAGGAGGUUUUAAGAAUAUAACACAAAAGAGGCUGUGAAGAGAGAAAAGCAGCAUAACAAGAAUUACUUUCUCAAGCAAGACUUCCUCAGUCUUUUGAGUCGCGUGAAGUGCUGUUUAACACACUGAAUAUUUCAGAAGAAUUCAAGUUUUUACAGACGACCUGACUGAAAGCUCUGUUCACCAGAUGUAGGCAGCAGAUGAUUCAUCCAAUUUCUCAUCAUCCAAUAAAUCAGUCCCAAACAUUAAAGAUCAGUGAGCCCACACACCUUUUGAGGGUGGCAGGACAAGCUCUUGUAUGUGCUACUGACAGGAAAGUGAAAGUAGAGUCUAGUUGGGAAGGGAGACAACAACACACAUACACACGGCAUACACGGAAGGAGCACACACUUCUUAUUUCUCUUACAUGCUUAUAAGAGCUGGCGACAACGAAAGCUGCAGCUUCGCCUCACUAUGGCGCUGUGGAUGCAGAUUUCCCAGAAGCUCCCUUAUUUUACCAAUGAGACCCUGGUGGAGCUCUACCCCACAGAUACUUUCCCCAUAGAC